UACGCCUACGGGACGCAGCAGUGGGGGAUAUUGCACAAUGGGGGAAACCCUGAUGCAGCGACGCCGCGUGUGGGAAGACGGUCUUCUGGAUUGUAAACCACUGUCCCCAGGGACGAAGCAAGUGACGGUACCUGACGAAUAAGCCACGGCUAACUACGUGCCAGCAGCCGCGGUAAUACGUAGGUGGCAAGCGUUAUCCGGAUUUAUUGGGUGUAAAGGGCGUGAAGGCGGGAAUGCAAGUCAGAUGUGAUAAAUAUGG
rnacentral:rRNA from 1 species